CCUUGGUGGAGACACACAAUUGCCUUCAUGGGCUAUUAAGCACCAAGCACAACGAAGAGAUGUGAUGCUUCCAGGGGCCUCUGUAGAGGGACAGCUGAGGACACUGCUGGUUUGACCUUACCCUGCUGCCUCCAAUCUUGACUUUUCCAAAGAUGGCAGUCCUUCCAGUCAGCGAUUUUUCUGGCUCUUCCUAUUCUGAGAUACUGUGGUAACUCCAGAGCCAACAGAGACGCUCCAAAACCCGAAAAGGCGGCCUCCCAAGUCCAGCCACACCAGUCCACACACGAAGCUACCUUUCACCGUCCUGCCCCAGAGGCGCCGUGCUAAGCUGAGUCACAGGCUGGAGAGAGUUACAAAGGUUUCCAGUGAUGUUCCCGUACGAUCAGAGUCCAGGCCAGGGCACCCAGGACAAUCAUUCACACAAGUCAAAGACAGUCUUCUGUAAGCACAUCCAGCUAAGAGCCUCGGGCUAGUGGACUUUGGACCCAGAGCUAGGCUGUGAGCAAGGCCAGGCACAGCCCCGAGCAAGCACCUCUUCCCCAUCAGUGCCCAGAUAUGACCUUAUAUCCUUUGCAAUCAUUUCAGAUUUACUAAAGGAACCAUUUUCCUCAGGCAGUGCAUUUCUAAUAGGUUAAUAGCCCCAAGUCUUUAGCCUCUAGCAAGGGGGCAUCACAGAAUACUUCCCUGGCUUCCCCCACCUCCCAGAAAAAUAUAAGUGUAAUUGCAGAACAAGAGGGAUGUUUAAUGAAAAGUCUCCAUUAUGUCAGUAAAUGUAUCAUAACUCAAAAAUAGCAUUUACCAUUAUCACAGGCUUGAAGCUUUCGUAUGAUCUUUGGCCUCAUUCUCCAAACUCCAGCCAACUAAACUUCCUGGAGGUCAUCUGCCACUGCAUUUUCCACAACGCCAUAAAAGUUACAGCUGUUUAGAGCUGGCUGGAACCACACAUUUCAUCUACGAGAUGAUCUACACAGAUGAACAAGGACAGUAAACUUUUAGUGACCAUGUACUACAUCCCAGGAACCAUGUCAUGCAUUUACGUAGUACCUCUUUGGGGGCGCCUGGGUGGCUCAGCCAGUUAAAUGUCCCACUUCAGCU